GUAGUGCGGGUUUGUUUAUGUAUUUUCGUUUUUUGAUUUAAUUAUUUUUCGUACUUUUCGCAAGUGUCAAUGUUUAUUUUGGAUUUUCUUCAAUGAAAUUUUGUUCGCUAAACAAUUGUCAAAAAGAUUCACCGGAAAAGAGCCUCUGUCACUUUCCAAAAACUGGAUUUUAAUUUCAUAUACAAUUGGAGGUUAGAACGACUUUUUGCGCUCCACACUAAAAAUUCAGGAAUUAUGUCAAAUAAAUGACAGUUGGAAAUUUUCAUCCAUAGAAAUAAGCUUAUUUCUUUAUGACAAAACAUGUAUCAACAGUAAUUGAAAAUACUUUAUCAAUGAAACGUUUAAAAAUUCUUUUUGCUCGAUACAAAAUGUUCUUUAUGGAAAAACAGUAAAGCAAACGCGGAUAAUGGAAUUUAAUUGCAUCUUUUUAUAAAAGAGGAAAAGGACGAAUUUCAAACGGAAAUUAUAAUUUUUUUCCUUACAAAGAAAUAAAGGAUUUAUAAAUGCUCUAAUUUGAACUUGACAAUAAAAAGAAGAGUUUAUUAUGUAUAUAAACUUUCCACAUAGCAUCGGAAAUUUUUUCAAUUGUGAAUUUAGAAAUAUAACAUUUUCAGGAAUGACAAAUUUAAAGUGGAAGCUUUAAUUUAAAAAUUUAAUUCAAGCAUAUGAGGCUAUAACAAUAUGGGUUUAUAUAUAUAUAUUUUAGCUCGAGCACUCAAGGCGAACCUCUUCCUCGUGACAAAAUGACAAAAGAAAAUAAAACCGUUAGGACGUACGGUGAUUGUUCGUGAUGUUGCUUGAAGGAAUAUUAUCGACAUAUAUGAUAUAUGACACGUAUAAGGAUAUUAUACAUAUACAUAAAUACUUUCAUUGCAUCGUCUAUUACGGUAGUUGGAAAGUUUAACCCCUCUUGUUGUAAAUAAUGGGUAUGUAUAGUAAAAUUAUGAAUUAUUUAGUAUAAUAAUUUAACUAAAAUUUAACAAAAUUUUUGUUACAUUUUAAAUUU